GAGACGCAAAGUGAAAGGAAAACAUUGGAGUGACAGCACAAGAUGAGUGAGAAUAAGCCCAAAACGCAUUACCCUUCUCCUUCUCCUCCUCCUCCUUCUUCUUCAGGUUCUUCAGGUGGGAUUCCCACUCCCAGCGAUGAUGGCCCAAAAAAGUUUCCGGGGCCGAAGAGCUAUAUCAACCCACCAGAGAAAGAGAUUCCAGAUGCUGCCACUCUGAGGGAUCAAUGGAGGUAUGCCAUCAGGCAGUACAGUAAAUGGUACUCUCACGCUUGGGGCUCUGCCAUUCUUGCUGGCACUGCCUUCUUUGCCCUUGGCUGGAUCAUCAAGGGAGAAAAUCCCAUACCCUCUUUCAACACCAACACUCCCUCUUCCUCUCAAAACGACAAAGACAACAACACUCCCCCAUGAUGUCCCUUACCUGCUUUUCAGGCACCAACCACUGGAAUCAAGCCACACAUGAACGGCUUUUAGUUAACAAUGCCAUGCACCUUGCUUCCAAUGGUCUAAUAAGGAAGUUUGAUGUUUAUAAUCAAGUCUCUUAUUUUGCUUCUCUUGAAAUAGUUUUUGUCCCUGUUUUGAUAUGGAUAUAAGGCAAAAGAUUAUGUAUAUUGAAAUGCUUUAGCUAUGUAAUUAAUGUGAGGAAAAAGAUUGUGCAUAUUCAAUGCUU